ACCACUACUUCCACAGCAGUUAAGGAUCCGUUUCCCUACAAUCCCGAUACGAUUUCAAGAGUUCAAUCCCAAUUCACUCAAACCGAAAUUUCCCAAAUCCAAAAUUAAAGAGUUCCUUUCAAUCCAAAUCGCAGAUUUUUUUCGUGUUUUAGCCCUUCUCCGGCGAACUUUUCUCGGCGGCGGCUUAUUAUCUGGCGAUAGUACUUCCCGGCAGCGUGUGGUUGAAUUAUCAAUUGGAGGAAAGGGUCGGGGAAGAUUGGAAAGGUAGAAUUGCUGGACUGGAACCCAUGAACUUCUUAACUGUUGCAACUCCACAUCUGGGUUCACAGAGGUCAUAGACAGGUGGGUACCUCAGCUAGACUCGAAUAAGUAUUUUUCCUAAACUCAAACUGUUAUUUCUGAUAUGAAUGUCUCUAUUUUAGAGCGACAUAGAUUGUAAAACUUUUGUGUGCUACUUGUUAGUUGUUACAGACAAGCUGGAUAUUUGUUCUGCCUCUAGAAAGCUUGAUUUUCAAUUUUUAGCUCCAUGCACACUCAAAGAUCGCCAAACUUUAAUUCUAAUUAUCCCUCUCCCGACACUGAGUCUUUUAGUAAUCAUAUAAAAUGUCUAGAGAGUCGAUUUUACUAAAGAA